GUGAUCGCGGCUGCAAGUGCCGAAAGGCCGCAGGUGAGGAAAGUCCGGGCUUCACAGGGCAGGAUGCCGGAUAACGUCCGGUAGAGGUGACUCUAAGGAAAGUGCAACAGAAAUAUACCGCCGGAAAGGACACUUUGUUCUUUCCGGUAAGGGUGGAAUGGCAGUGUAAGAGACUACCGCCUUUCUGGUAACAGGAAGGGCACAUGUAAACCCCAUUCGAAGCAAGACCGAGCAGAGACCAUGUGGCUGCCCGUCACGUCUCAGGUGGGUCGCUUGAGCCUGCUGGUAACAGCAGGCCUAGAUAGAUGAUCACUCAACGACAUAACCCGGCUUAUCGUCGUACUU
rnacentral:RNase_P_RNA from 1 species